CAAGCAGAACUCCUUGGGGCCUCCAGCUCUGGCGGAUGAGGAAACUGAGGCCCAGGACUCCAAAGCCUCCUCCUUGGAGGCAGGAAGCAGAGCCUGGAGUCAGCGGGCAUCUCUUGGGCUUUAAUGCCAUCAUCUGAGGCCUAAGUUCCGGAUCAGACAGACCGGCUGGCCGAGAAUCUCGGAGCUGGAAAGGACCUCCCCAGUCUGGGUCUCCAGGCCAUCCUUGAGUGGAGUGUGUGUGUAUGUGUGUGAGUGUAUAUGUGAGUGUAUGUGUGUAUGAGUGUGUAUGUGUGUGUAUAUGAGUGUGUAUGUAUGAGUGAGUUUAUGUGAGUGUGUAUAUGAGUAUGUAUGUGAGUGAGUAUGGGUAUGUGUGUAUAUAUGAGUGUGUGUAUGAGAGUGUGUAUGUAUGAGUUUGUGUGAGUGUGUAUGUGAGUGUGGGUAUGUGUGUAUGUGAGUGUGUGUAUAUGUGUGAGUGUAUGUGAGUGUGUGUGAGUGUGUGAGUAUGUGUAUGUGUGUGUGUGGUUCCCCCAGACAAAGUCCCCUAGAAGGAAGCUUGUCUCCUGCCUCCCCAGGAAGCCCACUCCAUUGCCUCGGAUGGCCUCUGCAAGUGCCCCUCUGUGACGAUGAGGCGUUCUGAGGAAGGCAAACAGUUGAUUAUAACCAAUGAACCAACAGGGCAGCGAUUUCUCUGGGUCCUCAGAAACCCUGACGCUUGGGCUCAAGGAUCCCUAGCUGGUCUGGAGAGCUCAUGAUGCAUGUAUUAAUUAGAAUCUUGAAUCUUUGGACUACAUUUCCCACAAUUCCCUUUGCCUCCAUCAUGAGGGUUGGCAAUCCCCGAUUUGGGCCCAUACCCCCAGGGUCUGCUCAGUCAGAAGUGACCAGAUCCAGUGUUUCUCAAGAGAGAUUCAAGGGCUUGGUGCCAUUGGGAAGCAGACAUAUCUAGAAGCCUAAGCUGGUUUGUAUUCACCAGGCAAGAUGGAACACCUACUCUCACCCUGGGAGUGAUGGCAGAUGGAUGGAGCGUCCCCUGAAGUUCCUGGGAACCAAGGAAUGAGUCCAGAAGUUGAGGGAUGAACCUGAGCCUCAGCUCAAAGCCCCAGAGUAGAAAUAAUUCAGCAGAGUAGAAAUUCUCUCACCUCUGUGGGCCAGUCCCACUCCCAAUGGACCACCUCCUCAGCUCCUGGAGGCUAUUGCUCCUUGCUCUCUGCUCCUCUUCUCUUCACCCUUCUGGUUGGCCUCUUUGAAUAUGAUUAUUAUUUUCAAAUGUAAUUUCAGAUUCAUUUUCAUUAAAAUUUGUAAUUUCUAAAUUAGUCACUGUAGGAUGAUAAAUUUCAGCCUCUAGGUUCAAAUUAGAUGUUUCUUCUAAGGAAAUAUGUACCAUAUAGCUAUUCAAAGAAUUAACUUGUUCAUGUGGGGUUUUAUUUUUUUCUGUGAGUGUUUGCAGGUCUUUUCCAGCUCCAUUAACAUCAUUUGUAAUAGUAAACUAGUGCUUUGAUUUUCUGCUACAGUCCUUUUGCUGUAGGGAAUUGAAAUUUUUUUUCACAGUGUCUUUCACCAGCUCCUGUUUAGGUAUAUAUGAGUUUUCAUAACUUUUUAUUGUACAAAAUUCAAUCCCUGUGCCCAAUCUGCACCGAAAAAAGUUUUCUAAGUAUGUUUUAAUUUGUUUUCUACUUUUUAUGAGUGGUUACUAUACAGUGUCUCUCUGAGUCUCCUAUUUCAGUUUGUAUCUGAGUAAUGAUAUUUUAACUUCUUCAUCUAGCUCCUUCAUUUAUCUCUUUUUCACUUGGUAUUUUGCUUGGUUUGCUCUUACCAUUACUCACAGAUUUAGUUUUCUGCAUCACCUGUGCAUUGUCCCUUUUCUGUUUUCUCUUUUGUUUUAUACCAGCCUGUCUCUUACUAUUUGCACCUCUCUAUCUCCAUGCACAAAACUAAAUACAUUAUGGUUUUCGCUUCAUAAGUCCUUUCUUACAAUAUCUGCAUAAUUGGGCUUAGUUCCUGCAUUUAUAGCUUCACACAUUUCCUGAAGGUUUGAUGCUUCCUGAUUUGAUCUUGUAACCGCCAAAACAUGGUUGCCAAAACUGUAAAUGUUAAAAACUGUAAAAUGCCAAACUGUAAUGGUUUUGGCCAAACUGUAAAGGAUAAUUUUUGUGUUUUGACUUAAAAUCAAAAAUAAGUGGUCGCUAUGGGAAAUUCCCAAAUAUGAAAAAUACCCAAGUCAUCUGGGGAUUUAUGAAGAUUUUAAUUAAUAUAAAUGAAGGAAUUAAGGGAAGGAGAGAGAGAGACAUAGAGAGGGAGAAUAGCCAAGCAGUAGAAAAGGGCCUGGGCCAUUUGGCCCAGGCCUGAGCCUAAGGGAGAGCAAGUCAGUCUUUAUCACUCACCAAAAGAUUGUCUCCAAGCUGGGUUCUUUCACUCCGAACUGAAAUUAGCCUCCAAACUGAAUUCAACUGCAAACUCAAUUCAAAAUAUCCUCACUUCAACUCCCAACUCCAACUCCAACUAACUUCAAAUACGACUCCCAAAUUCAAUAAGCCCCUUCCUUUUAAGGAAAUUUAAAGAAAUCACCUCCCCUAAAUUUUUACGUCUACCAAUCACAGUAGAUGCUUUUUCCCAGGACUGCCCAUUCUUAGUUCUCAUCUUCUUUUGUUCUCACCUUCUCUGGUUAGAUUAAAUCCACUGCAUACUUCACACCUCUUUUUUUAAGCUCACCUUUUGUAAGUUGCUUGACCUUUUAGUGAUUAAUUUAACCUUUAUAGGUACUUAUCACCUUUUUGUAGUAGAUCUAAAAAGAGACCUAGUUUAAGGUUCUAGCUUUACUAUAAGCAUGAGUUAGGGACUUUUCAUUGUUCAAUUAGGAGUUUUCAACUUUAUCUUCCCCUAAGGCAUUGUCUGAGUAGGGUGGAGUAAUUUUAAAAGUUCUCAAUACAUUCCUGAUCAAGUACCUCCAUUCUUAAAAAUGGGGAAUAGCUUAAUCAAAUCUUCUGAAGUAGAGUCUGAGUAGUUUUAAGAUUCAAAAUCUUAAAGUGCAGUGUUUGCAGCAGGUAUUUUUCUGCUAAUUAUAGUGUUUUAUUUGUGUGUUCUUGUUGUUAACUUCACAUUUUUUUUUAAGAAAACAGUCUUUUAUUAGGUGUCCAGUUUUGUGACAGAAAAAGCAUUGUCUGGUCUCCCUUUGUACUUUCCUUUGCUGAUAGGAAGUUUUGUGUAUGUUUUGAACGUAUUGAGAUUUUUAAUUUCUUGGAUCUCUUUUUCCUUUAGGCUCUGUUCUGUAUCCUGUAAUUUCUGUUUUAAUUCUGAUAACUGUCUAUUCUGAUCUGUGUGACUAUCAUAAAGAUAUGAUGCAGAGUCUCAAAGCUCUGAAAGAUUCACUGAAUCAUAUUUGGGGAAAUAGUUCUUGAAGAAAUUCCCAAGGUGUGGUGUGAACCCUCUUAAAAAUUGUCUUCUAGACUCUUCAGAAUCUGUCUCUAUUCCCAUGAUAGCCUCUGAGGUCUCAGAAAGGCAGUCUCUGAAUGUGGAUAGAUGCUCACACUUUUCUUGGACCAUUUUGUGAAAUUUACCCCAAGCAUUUGACUUGGAACAACACAUCUUGAUUGCCUGGAGCAAAUCCUCCCUGAAUUUCCUCAGAGAGGUCAUUCAUACCAGCUUAGAGAAGUAAAUAUCCUCUCUAUGCUCCUCAGUUGGCCAGCUCGUCAGGGUGCUCUCAGAUCUCGUUUUGUCUAUGAAUUUGGCGAUGUUCAUGGGGGCUAAAUAAUUCUGCCAAAAAGAACUUUGUGUCAUCAAAGCUUGUUUCAAAAAUAUGAAAAGCCCUUUUUAAUUCCUUGUGAGAUCUAUGAGGCUCUGAGAUAAAUUUUGGGAAUCUUUUCUUGAUAGAAUCCAAUUCUGUGUUGUGAAUUGUUUAUGGACUUUGGAGUAUAACACUCCAGCUGUGUCAGAAAUCUUAGUAAUGUCCUUUAAUGGAAAAAUUUUCUCAGCCUCUUUGUUUUCAUUAGUGUCCUUGUCCUUGCCAUUUCCCUGUGCACCCAACUUGUUUUUCUUGGCCUUCUUUUCUUUAUCCUUUGUUACAUUGUGUGCCUGUCCAUUUCCAUUAUCUUUGAUCUGAUCUAACCCCUUUAUCUUUAAAAAUUCUAAGUAAGAGUCUGUAUUGUAGCCUUGGUAAAAAUGUAAGCCUGAGUUAGUACUUGCCAUAGGAUAGUAUCUUUUAAUGGCAGGUUUAGUAUAAAAGUGGUGGUAUUUUUUAGGCACUCCAUAGUUUCUAGUACUAUAGUGUAAAAAUAGACUCGAAUUCAGGACUCCAAUCCCCAGAAUCCUUUUAUCCACGUCCCCAGAGUGCUUUGUAAUCACACUGAAUUCUCGCCUGGGUGAGAACACAAAUGAUUAUUUAAAGGAGUUCUCUGCCUACUGAGGGGUCUUUUGGACUUCCGUUUUGGAGCAGACACAUCUCUUCCAUGACAUGAAAUUAUCUUGUCUAGGCCUCUCUGGCCUAGGCAUGUGCUUUCUCAUUUUGUAUUUUCUUUAAUCCUUAAUCUUCAAUGAACCUCAUAAAAUAUAAUACUCCUUACAGAGAGAGACUAAUUUCUGCCUGCCUCAGUCUCCCUAAAUUUUUAUCUUUAUACUAGUGGUCUUAGUACUACCCCCAAUAGGCGGCAAUUAUUGCCAACACUAUCAUCCCACACGCUAUUUGUUUGAGCAUCUUGUCUUCUCUCUUUGGCUUCCUCUCCAGGAUGUGGGUACAGUCUAUUCAGGGAGCCCAGCUGUAUUCGGGGACUAUUUUAAGGGGAGGAUGACAAUUUCAAGCCCAGAUCGGCCAGUCUCCUUCCUCCCCUCCCCUCUCCCUGUCCUUCCUGCCUCUUCCCCUCCCCCUAAGUCGGUCCUUCUGCUGGUAUCACUGACGUCAGCUCAGAGAACCCCCACCCUACUCUCUAGUGUCCUGCCCUCCACCCACAGGUGAGAAGUAAAAACUGCAGGCAAUUUAAAAUACUACUACUAAUCUGGGGUGUAUGGGGUGCUCAGGGAAGGGUAGGGGUGUAUGGGGUGCUCAGGGAGGGGUAGGGGUGUAUGGGGUGCUCAGGGAGGGGUAGUAUCUCUGGUAUGGAGGGCUUGUCGUGCCCUCCUAGGGCAGCUCUCCAGCCUCUGACCCCCACCUGACACCCAGCUCUCACUGGUGGCUCCCAGUAGCUGCUAGCAUGCGGCAGCGGCCACACCCCGGACAACGGCUUGGACAGGCCGACUAAACCUUGGGAGGGUAGCCAUCGGGUCGUCGACCCCUGGUGAACCAGGGCUUUGCUCACCCAGCAUGUGAAGACUGCUUCGGCGGAACAGGUGGAAGAAAGCAACAAGAAGGUUCAACGGCUGAGAGGGCAACGCAGCAAAGCACUGUGGAGUGCUCAGGGCGUGUUGGAGCACAAAGGACAACACGGCCAUCCAAUGCAGCUGAGGAAGUCUCCAGGUGUAACGACUCUUCGUGCCGCUGGACCCAGGCUUGGGGCUGUCUCUGUGCAUCGACUCUUCCACUUAAAUCUCCUUCACGCACAAGUGUCUGUGCACACUCGCACACAGACAAUCGCCAUCCCCGGCUUGUCGACGGUUAAAAAGGUGUGGCUAGCCCCUGGUAUAAUCAGCACAGGCUCUAAAGUGUCUGCAGCUUGUCCCACUCAACGGGCUUUUCAUGACAUGCUUUUGGUGGGCACCCUCCGGCUUACACACCUUUUGAGCAUUUACAAACGGACUUAUUACCGCACCCAAGGUUGGGUAUUAUAUAUUUCAUCUGGCCACAGUAGCGCUUGUUGCUAAGAUGCUCUUAAGGGAGACUGUCCCUUGCGUUGGCAUGCCAGCACAGGUGGAUUCAGACAGGGGAACUAAUUUUACUAAUUCUUUCUUGUCUCAGAUUAAUUCUUGUUUCAGGGUCACUCACCAAUUCCAUGUACCCUAAUACUCCAAGGUCUCAAGCCAUGAAGAAAGAAUAAAUGGUAAUCUUAAAAAUAGGAA